rnacentral:lncRNA from 1 species
CUCCCGUGUUCAAGCAGUUCUCCUGCCUCAGCCUCCCAAAUAGCUGGGAUUACAGUUGCCUGCCACCACGCCCAGCUAAUUUUUAUAUUUUUAGUACAGAUGGGGUUUCACCAUGUUGGCCAGGCUGGUCUCGAACUCCUGACCUCAAGUGAUCCACCCGCCUUGGCCUCCCAAAGUGCUGGGAUAAUAGGUGUCAGCCACCGCGCCCAGCCUGGAGUGGCCUUUUAUGAGAGGGGACCCGUCAAAUCUGUGCCUUAUGGAGGGGUCCGGCAGCGGCCACAAUUGUCUUGUCCCCUCACCCCCCAACUCCCCCUGGAACACCUCUCCCAGGCAAGACAUUUUCACAGCACCAUUCACAACGGUUGGGCCAAAAAGAAACUUUUCCUUCAUCAUUUCCUGCACUCGCUGACCACAACUUUGGACACCCCAGGCUGCCACCCCUCCCCACCCGUUCACCCCCAGGAUGCUGUUGCUGUAGGACGCCUGCUGCCCUGGAGCCCUCCCCAGGAUGUGAGCCAGUCCCCUCGCUGGUACGGAAUGCCGCUGGGUGCCCGGAGGCGGCCAUGGUGUCUCGAUGGACGGCAGCCAGGAUGGAGCACCCAUGGGUCUCACGGCCAUGCUUCAGGGUCUUCAGGUCCUGCCCCCGGCCAGUCUGCCAAGAGGCACCCCCUUCCCCAGCCUCUCGCCUGCACUGAUGCAGACAAAAUCUCACCUGGCAGGCCCAACCCCCCCCCACCCCUCCCCCGCCGUGUGUGGCCCCUCGCCGCAUCGUUGGGGUUUUGUUAUGUGAAAAUAUCCUGGAAAUAAAUACAUGUUUCUGCACUU